CCCUUAGAUGUUCUGGGCUGCACGCGCGCUACACUGAAGCGUUCAACGAGUAUUCACCUUGCCCGGGAGGGUUGGGUAAUCUUUUGAAAACGCUUCGUGAUGGGGAUAGAUUAUUGCAAUUAUUAAUCUUCAACGAGGAAUUCCUAGUAAGCGCGAGUCAUCAGCUCGUGCUGAUUACGUCCCUGCCCUUUGUACACACCGCCCGUCGCUCUUACCGAUUGAGUGAUCCGGUGAAUAAUUCGGACUGCAGCACUGCUUGGUCUCCAGGCUUUGCAGCGGAAAGUUUAGUGAACCUUAUCACUUAGAGGAAGGAAAAGUCGUAACA
rnacentral:rRNA from 1 species